GAUGAACGCUAGCGGCAGGCCUAACACAUGCAAGUCGAGGGGCAUCAUGGCGUAGCAAUACGCUGAUGGCGACCGGCGCACGGGUGCGUAACGCGUAUGGAACCUACCCACCGCAGGGGGAUAACCCGCCGAAAGGCGGACUAAUACCCCAUGGUUCCCCGACCCUGCCUGGGGUUGGGGUAAAGCCUACGGGCGGCGGUGGAUGGCCCUGCGUGCCAUUAGCUGGCUGGUGGGGUAACGGCCCACCAGGGCGACGAUGGCUAGGGGGUCUGAGAGGACGAUCCCCCACACUGGUACUGAGACACGGACCAGACUCCUACGGGAGGCAGCAGUGAGGAAUAUUGGUCAAUGGGCGGAAGCCUGAACCAGCCAUGCCGCGUGCAGGAUGACGGCCCUACGGGUUGUAAACUGCUUUUAUAUGGGAGCAAUAAGGUUUACGCGUAGACCGAUGAGAGUACCAUAUGAAUAAGCAUCGGCUAACUCCGUG
rnacentral:rRNA from 1 species